rnacentral:rRNA from 1 species
GUCUACGGCCAUACCACCCUGAACGCGCCGGAUCUCGUCUGAGCUCGCAAGCUAAGCAGCGUCAGGCCUGGUUAGUACUUGGAUGGGAGAUCGGCUGGGAAUACCAGGUGCUGUAGGCU